rnacentral:misc_RNA from 1 species
UCCCUGUUACCAGGGCAGUCUGUUUAGAAAAAUCCAACUAAACAUAAGGGUUGCGCUCGUUGCGGGACUUAACCCAACAUCUCACGACACGAGCUGACGACGGCCAUGCAUCACCUGUCACUGGGUUCCCGAAGGCACGGAUUCCUUUCGGAAUCUUUCCCAGGAUGUUAAACCUUGGUAAGGUUUUCGUUUACCAUCGAAUUAAACCACACGCUCCACCGCUUGUGCGGGUCCCCGUCAAUUCCUUUGAGUUUUAAACUUGCGUUCGUACUCCCCAGGCGGAAUGCUUAAUGCGUUAGCUGCGCCACCGAAGAGCAUGCUCUCCAACGGCUGGCAUUCAUCGUUUACGGCGUGGACUAC